rnacentral:rRNA from 1 species
CCUACGGGCGGCUGCAGUGGGGAAUAUUGGACAAUGGGGGCAACCCUGAUCCAGCCAUGCCGCGUGUGUGAAGAAGGCCCUCGGGUUGUAAAGCACUUUCAGUGAGGAAGAACGCCUGGUGGUUAAUACCCAUCAGGAAAGACAUCACUCACAGAAGAAGCACCGGCUAACUCCGUGCCAGCAGCCGCGGUAAUACGGAGGGUGCGAGCGUUAAUCGGAAUUACUGGGCGUAAAGCGCGCGUAGGUGGCUUGAUAAGCCGGUUGUGAAAGCCCCGGGCUCAACCUGGGAACGGCAUCCGGAACUGUCAAGCUAGAGUGCAGGAGAGGAAGGUAGAAUUCCCGGUGUAGCGGUGGAAUGCGUAGAGAUCGGGAGGAAUACCAGUGGCGAAGGCGGCCUUCUGGACUGACACUGACACUGAGGUGCGAAAGCGUGGGUAGCAAACAGGAUUAGAUACCCUAGUAGUC